ACCCGCAGAUACCUCCUGACGCCCUCCUCCCCAUCUCCGAUUCCUCCUCCGCCCGCGAUUCCUUCUCUCCUCGCCGCAUCACCGUCCCCGUGCCCUUCUCCAAACUCCGCCAUCCCCGUCCCGUACUCCCUCCCUUGGAAAAGAUCAAUUGGAGGAGUAAUUCCGGCUUCAUCCGGUGGUGGCGAUGCCGGAAAAGAUCGAUUUUUUUUCGACGGGAGGAGUAAUUCCGGCUUGAUCCGGUGGUGCCGAUGCCGGAUCCUGCGACGGCGCCGACGCGAGCCACCAAGGGCCGUGGACUCCCUCACCGGCUGCGAUUCCGCCAAACCCUGUUGUCUCGGCGUCCCAGCGACCAUCUCCGAGGCGGAUAAAAUCGUUACUUUCGGUAGCAGCCCGAGGAGAAGGCCCGGACAAAUCCUCGGAGCAGUAAGCCCGCCGCUCCAGUACCUUUCCUCACCGCCGUCGUCAUCAAGAUCACAAGAGCAGGACUCUUUGGACGGUGCUGAAGAUUGACCGGUUGGAGUCUAUUGAUUUGGGUAUCCAGGAGUAUCCUACUAGUUACACGGAGAAUUGAUGAACUAAUUUGGCGGAUUCACGAGGGAAAUAGGUUUUCUGAAGUUUCUUGGUCCUUACUACAUGGUUCCAAUUACCAGGAGAAGAAAAGUUGGCAGAAUCUGUGGUCAUUAUAUUUUUAUUCAAUUGGAAAGAGUGAAAUGGUUGCAAUAGAAAUCUGCAUUUAAGUCUUCAGCUCUCAUAUUCUUUUUGUGGUUUAUUUAUUUAUACACUCAGAGAGAGGACUGGUUAGCUUAGGCCAUCGGAGUAUCUGUUUGAUUGAUGUGAUGAAUUUCAAUUCUGCCUUGGAGUAUUUAUUUAUUGAGCUUUACCUGUCUUUUUCUCAGGUUCUCUUG